UACCCCUCCCUAUUAGUUGUGCGACGGCAGAAGACAAGGCUUUUCCCUAUCGUGAUCAUCAUUAUAUUUCUGCAUUCAUUCGGAUUUGAUUGAUUAACGGUUAAGCGGGCACUUAGUCCAACCGAGCAAACCGAAGGUGAGUUCACUACAUUCGAGCAUGCGUCCCAGUGGUUGGGGACAAUCAGUGGGUCCUUAGGUACUUGGAAUGCAAGAACUUGCUGGCUGGAGGGCGCGAGUGGUC
rnacentral:lncRNA from 1 species